rnacentral:misc_RNA from 1 species
AACGCACAUUGCGCCCGCUAGUAUUCUGGCGGGCAUGCCUGUCUGAGCGUCAUUUCAACCCUCGCCCCCGGCUUUUGCUGGGAGCGGUGUUGGGGAUCGGCCGCCCGUCACUGGGAGGCCGGCCCCGAAAUAGAGUGGCGACCACGCCGUGUGCUCCUCUGCGUAGUAGUAAAUCACCUCGCAGGCGGACAGCGGUGCGGCCUGCCGUAAAACCCCCAACUCUUUCAAUGGUUGACCUCAGAUCAGGUAGGAAUACCCGCUGAACUUAA